rnacentral:rRNA from 1 species
CCUACGAGUGGCAGCAGUGGGGAAUAUUGCACAAUGGGGGAAACCCUGAUGCAGCGACGCCGCGUGAGCGAUGAAGUAUUUCGGUAUGUAAAGCUCUAUCAGCAGGGAAGAAAAUGACGGUACCUGACUAAGAAGCCCCGGCUAACUACGUGCCAGCAGCCGCCGUACUACGUAGGGGGCAAGCGUUAUCCGGAUUUACUGGGUGUAAAGGGUGCGUAGACGGCGAGGCAAGCCAGAUGUGAAAGCCCGGGGCGCAACCCCGGGACUGCAUUUGGAACUGUAUAGCGGGAGUGUCGGAGAGGCAGGCGGAAUUCCUAGUGUAGCGGUGAAAUGCGUAGAUAUUAGGAGGAACACCAGUGGCGAAGGCGGCCUGCUGGACGAUGACUGACGUUGAGGCUCGAAAGCGUGGGGAGCAAACAGGAUUAGAUACCCUUGUAGUC